UGAGCAACCUGCCCUGGACUCUGGGAUAAGCGCUGGAAACGGCGUCUAAUACUGGAUAUGAGCUUCUACCGCAUGGUGGGGGUUGGAAAGAUUUUUCGGUCUGGGAUGGGCUCGCGGCCUAUCAGCUUGUUGGUGAGGUAAUGGCUCACCAAGGCGUCGACGGGUAGCCGGCCUGAGAGGGUGACCGGCCACACUGGGACUGAGACACGGCCCAGACUCCUACGGGAGGCAGCAGUGGGGAAUAUUGCACAAUGGGCGGAAGCCUGAUGCAGCAACGCCGCGUGAGGGAUGACGGCCUUCGGGUUGUAAACCUCUUUUAGCAGGGAAGAAGCGAAAGUGACGGUACCUGCAGAAAAAGCGCCGGCUAACUACGUGCCAGCAGCCGCGGUAAUACGUAGGGCGCAAGCGUUAUCCGGAAUUAUUGGGCGUAAAGAGCUCGUAGGCGGUUUGUCGCGUCUGCUGUGAAAUCCCGAGGCUCAACUUCGGGUCUGCAGUGGGUACGGGCAGACUAGAGUGCGGUAGGGGAGAUUGGAAUUCCUGGUGUAGCGGUGGAAUGCGCAGAUAUCAGGAGGAACACCGAUGGCGAA
rnacentral:rRNA from 1 species